GACAGUUUGGCCGAGUGGUCUAAGGCGGUGGCUUUAGGCGCCAUUCCGAAAGGGCGCGGGUUCGAACCCCGCAGCUGUCA
rfam:Perkinsus marinus ATCC 50983 gcontig_1104296579442, whole genome shotgun sequence.